rnacentral:rRNA from 1 species
AUUGAACGCUGGCGGCAUGCCUUACACAUGCAAGUCGAACGGCAGCAUGGAGAGCUUGCUCUCUGAUGGCGAGUGGCGAACGGGUGAGUAAUGCAUCGGAACGUACCGUGUAAUGGGGGAUAACGUAGCGAAAGUUACGCUAAUACCGCAUACGACCUGAGGGUGAAAGCAGGGGAUCGCAAGACCUUGCGUUAUACGAGCGGCCGAUGUCAGAUUAGCUAGUUGGUGAGGUAAAGGCUCACCAAGGCGACGAUCUGUAGCGGGUCUGAGAGGAGGCUCCGCCCCACUGGGACUGAGACACGGCCCAGACUCCUGCGGGAGUCAGCAGUGGGGAAUUUUGGACAAGGGGGGCAACCCUGUUCCAGCCAUGCCGCGUGAGUGAAGAAGGCCUUCGGGUUGUAAAGCUCUUUCGGCCGGGAAGAAAUCGCACAGGCUAAUACUCUGUGUGGAUGACGGUACCGGCAUAAGAAGCACCAGCUAACUACGUGCCAGCCGCCGCGGUAA